GUGAUAGCUUCAGCAGCACAUACACUAAAAUUGAAAUGAUACAGAGACGAUUAGGAUGGCCUCUGCACAAGGAUGACAUACAAAUUCGUGAAGCGUUCCAUAUUUUA
ensembl:snRNA U6 U6 spliceosomal RNA